rnacentral:rRNA from 1 species
GUCUUCUGAUUGUAAAGUUCUUUUAUUUAGGAAAAAAAGCGCGCUAGGAAAUGAGCGCGCCUUGAUGGUACUAAUUGAAUAAGUGACAGCUAACUAUGUGCCAGCAGCUGCGGUAAAACAUAGGUCACGAGCAUUAUCCGGAUUUAUUGGGCGUAA